rnacentral:rRNA from 1 species
CGGGUUGUAAACCGCUGUCAGAGAGGCGGAAAUAUAGGGGGGGUUCUCCCUUCUAUUUGACCUAUUCUCAGAGGAAGUGCGGGCUAAGUCCGUGCCAGCAGCCGCGGUAACACGGACCGCACGAACGUUAUUCGGUAUCACUGGGCUUAAAGGGUGCGUAGGCGGCUUUGCAAGUUGGGUGUGAAAGCCCUCGGCUCAACCGAGGAAUUGCGCUCAAUACUGCCGAGCUCGAGAGAGACAGAGGUAAGCGGAACUAAUGGUGGAGCGGUGAAAUGCGUUGAUAUCAUUAGGAACACCGGUGGCGAAGGCGGCUUACUGGGUCUUUCUGACGCUGAGGCACGAAAGCCGAGGGGAGCGGAACGGGAUUAGACUACCCCGGUAGUCCUGGCCGUAAACGAUGAGCACGUGGGUCGAACGUCCCCCUCACAGGUAUUUCGGCCGUAGACGAAAGUGUUAAGUGCUCCGCCGUGGGGAGUAUGGUCGACAAGGCUAG